rnacentral:rRNA from 1 species
UACGUAGGGGGCGAGCGUUGUCCGGAUUCAUUGGGCGUAAAGCGCUUUAAGGCGGUUCGCUAAGUCGCGUGUGAAACCUCCAGGCUCAACCUGGAGACGCCACGCGAUACUGGCGUGACUAGAGUUCGGUAGGGGGAUCACGGAAUUCCUGGUGUAGCGGUGAAAUGCGCAGAUAUCAGGAGGAACACCGAUGGCGAAGGCAGGUCACUGGGCCGCGAACUGACGCUGGAGGAGCGAAAGCAUGGGGAGCGAACAGGAUAGAAACCCUAGU